rnacentral:rRNA from 1 species
AGGAGAGUUUGAUCCUGGCUCAGAGUUAACGCUGGCGGCGUGCCUAACACAUGCAAGUCGGGCGGGGAGUGGCAGAGUACCGCGCUCCCAGCGGCAGACGGGUGAGUAACGCGUAGGCAACAUGCCCAUAAGAGGGAGACAACCAGCCGAAAGGUUGGCUAAUAUCCCGUAAUACCCUGGGGAGGCAUCUUUUCCGGGUUAAAGCAGCGAUGCGCUUAUGGAGUGGCCUGCGGCCUAUCAGCUAGUUGGUGAGGUAACGGCCCACCAAGGCAUAGACGGGUAGCCGAUCUAAAAGGAUGACCGGCCACAAGGGGACUGAGACACGGCCCCUACUCCUACGGGAGGCAGCAGUGGGGAAUUUUGGACAAUGGGGGAAACCCUGAUCCAGCGACGCCGCGUGAAGGAUGAAGGUUUUCGGAUUGUAAACUUCUUUUGCAGGGGGCAAAGGCCGGCAACGGCGUGAUGGUACCCUGUGAAUAAGCCACGGCUAACUACGUGCCAGCAGCCGCGGUAAUACGUAGGUGGCGAGCGUUACUCGGAAUUACUAGGCGUAAAGCGCGUGUAGGCGGGAGCCUAAGUCCGCUGUGAAAACCCGUGGCUCAACCACGGGCGUGCGGCGGAUACUGGGAUUCUUGAAUUCGGUAGAGGCAGCUGGAAUUCCGGGUGUAGCAGUGAAAUGCGUAGAUAUCCGGAAGAACGCCAAAGGCGAAAGCAGGCUGCUGGGCCGCAAUUGACGCUGAGAUGCGAAAGCUAGGGGAGCAAACAGGAUUAGAUACCCUGGUAGUCCCCU